rfam:Peniophora sp. CONT PENSPscaffold_403_Cont528, whole genome shotgun sequence.
GCCCUCGUUGUCUAAUGGUCAUGACGUCGGACUUCUAUUGCUCCGACAAUAUCCGGAGGUUGCGGGUUCGAGUCCCGCCGGGGGUA